rnacentral:rRNA from 1 species
ACUAGCUGAGAGGAGGUGCAUGGCCGUCGUCAGUUCGUACUGUGAAGCAUCCUGCUAAGUCAGGCAACGAGCGAGACCCACGCCAACAGUUGCCAGCUCGUCCUCCGUGAUGUGGGGACACUGUUGGGACCGCCUCGUGCGUAAAGAGGAGGAAGGAAUGGGCAACGGUAGGUCAGCAUGCCCCGAAUUAUCUGGGCUACACGCGGGCUACAAUGGGUGGGACAAUGGGUAUCGACACCGAAAGGUGAAGGCAAUCUCCUAAACCCAUCCGUAGUUCGGAUUGUGGGCUGCAACUCGCCCACAUGAAGCUGGAAUCUGUAGUAAUCGUGUCUCAAAAUGGCACGGUGAAUAUGUCCCUGCGUCCUU